UAAAAGAGAAGGAAAAUAAAGUGUGAACGGUCUCAAAGUCUGUGGUCUAGAAACACCAUUCAUUGCCUUUUAAAGGCCAAAAUUAUCCAGGUCUGUUGGGAUUUAUAUACCGUACGGCUAAAAGACCAGUAAACCCUCAGUUUGACUCGUCACUGAAAAACCCUUCUGGUUCUUAUUGGGUGAGUAACGCCCUCCCAUGCCGUUACCGCUGCCAUUGAUUCAGCAGCAGUUGAAGCUCCAAAGCCUAUUGGGGAUAUGAUUUGUCCCUUCAUACUCAUCAAAGUCGAAGGUAUGAUUUCUCCGGACCCUGAAUAUCCAUUUCUAUUCAGCUCAAGCAGUUAAAAAGCCAGUCUUUUUGGUUCUGUUACAAUCUCUCAGUCUUCAAAACCUCGUCAAAACUGGUCAUGAACCACUUGCAGAAACUCAGAGCAGUGUCUAUUUUCAAAUGGGUUUCUUCAAAUUUUGCUGAAAAUCAACUUAAGUUAUCAAAAACCCCAGUUUUGCUAAUUGGGUCUUCUUCCCUCAUUACCCAAAAAACUAGACUUUACGGAGCAAAAAGAGCUGUUCAAACUGAAAAUCCGUAUGAAUCAGAUAGCGAUAAUGCUGGUCAAAUUUGUUUAUCCACACGGAAGGAAGCCCAAGAUGCAUUGGUGGAGUAUUUUUAUUCUACUAGAAGUUUACAGUUUUUGGAUGCAGAAAAUAUGGGCAGGAACUCGCCGCAUUUUCUUGAGAAGCUCUUGAAAAAGGCUAGACAGAAAGCGGAGAUUGGGCGGUCGAUUGCCCGGUUUUUGCGUUAUCACCCAAUUAAUGAAUUUGAACCUUUCCUUGAGAGCUUGGGUUUGAAACCAUCCGAGUAUGUUCCUCUUCUUCCCCGUGAUUUUAUGUUUUUGAGUGAUGAUCAUUUGUUGCUUGCCAAUUACUAUGUGUUGUGCAAUUAUGGAUUUGAACGUAAUGCAAUAGGAAAGAUUUAUAAGGAAGCAACAGAGGUGUUUCAGUAUGAUUCCGAAGUUUUGCUAUCAAAACUUCGAGCUUAUGAAGAACUGGGUCUUAGCCAGCCUUCAAUACUUAAUUUUGUUGUUGCUAGUCCUUACCUUUUGACUGGGGAUGUAAAUGCGGAUUUUAUUAAAGUAUUAGAGAAACUGAAGAGUUUGGGAUUUGAAAACAGUUGGAUCGAGGGGAAUCUGUUGGAGAAGAUUUCUUAUAACUGGAGUAGGAUGAUUAGGAUUCUAUGUUUGUUUAGCAAGAUAGGGUGUAGCAACGAGCAGUUGGUUGGACUAAUCAGGCAACACCCUGAUACCCUGUUUGAGGGUUCAGGGGAUAAGACACAUUCACUAAUUGGGUUCUUAGUGAAAUUUGGUUCCACAACGAAUCAGAUAUGUACGAUGUUUCUCCGGUUUCCGCAGAUUAGAGUUGGACAAUUUGUAUCAAAUAUGUGUAAAUGUUUUUUGUUCCUGAGUGAGAUUGAUAUGGAGGUUACAGAGAUUGGGAAGAUUGUAAGUUCUCACUCCUUACUGCUUGGCUCAUGUUCUUUGAAGAAGACUAACAGCUUGCUUGCUAACUUGAAUAUCGGAAAGAAGCGACUUUGUAGUUAUAUCCAGGAGAAUCCACAAGAAAUGAAGAAUUGGGUUAUGGGAAUGAGAGUUAAACCUUUGCCAAACUCAGGAGAGGACCUUAGAUCCCAGAUGGAGAAAAACCAAUUUUUGUUAGACUUGGGAUUUGUUGAGAACUCAAAUGAAAUGAAAACAGCAGCCAAAACAUUUCGAGGCAAGGGAGGGGAGCUUCAGGAGAGAUUUGAUUGUAUAGUGGAAGCUGGUUUGGAUCGGAAAGAUGUUUGCAACAUGAUUAAAACAUCCCCUCAAAUCCUCAACCAGACAAAGAAUGUGAUUGAAAUGAAGAUUGGUUUUCUUUUAAAUGAUCUAGGUUAUCCCAUAUCAUCUCUGGUCUUGAAUCUCCACUCCCAGCGGACAAAAAGGUCAGUGUGAGAAGUGGCCCAACCAUCCAGCAUGCUGAUUUUGGGCCCUACAAGCCCAAGAGCUAAUGGGCUAACUAAGCUAGGUUUUACGGCCCAAUGUCAGAACAACUAUUUAGUCACUUCUAACUAGGGGAAUUUGGCCCAAUACCCCCAUAGGACCUAGCUUCAUGAAUUUUGCCCCCUCAAUUCAUUUCUUUUUUGAUCUACCCCUCCAAUCUUUUAAAAUCCCAAAAUACCCUUAUGCGUUUUUUUUUUUUAUAUGUUUUUUUCUUUCCUUUCUUCGACUUUUCCCCUCCAUCUCUUUAUCCAUAACCAGACCUUAGGAGCCCUCUGUUUCCUUUCAUGAAUCGGCCGGAUUGUAAGCGUGGAGACUGCGUGUUUUGAAGGAGAUGGUGAAGAGGCGACUCAGAGAGAAAACUGCAGGAUUUUAGAGAGCCCUAGGAGCAGAAGCAGAAGCAACAGACAUUUCUUGCUGAGAGAUAUGUAUGAUGAUAUGAUGCUGGAUGGAGUACAGCCAACUAGGGAUACAUUCCAUUCUGUCAUCAGUUAGUGGAAAGGUGGAUAAGCAAAAUGCUCAUUUCUUUGGUGUUACGAUCAACGAGCAACAAGCCGAGUGUGGUAUUGUAGAAAGAGUUACUUCAAAUGCACAAGGCAAAUUUAAGUUACUUUAUUUCGAGCAAGAUGUGAAUGGCGGUUAUGGUUUGGCCCUACAGAUGGAUAAUUGAUCCUCCUCUGGAUGUCAAUGUACCAUCAAAACGCACACCAUGGCCUGAUGCCCCUCCUGAACUCCCUACCAAUGAAAAUGUAGUGUUGGGCAUCCAAGAGCAUGCUGUAAAGCAUCCUACAAAGACCCGCACAUCUAGAUCAAAGAGACGAAGCAAGAGAAAGCAUGACACAAGAACGGUGGACACACAGGUUGCUUCAAAGCAUUCUGAACAAAUUUGAAAAUCUUAGCACGAAGACGGCUAGAGAUGCAUGUUGCUGUGUGAAUUUUAGGCAUCAUUCUUCAGCAUCAUAAAAAAAUUUGAAUUGCAAAGGCUUAUUAGCACAGAGGCAGAUGGCCUAACCUGGUAUAUGUGAAAAGAAUCCUUACAGAGAGAAAAUCCCAAAAUUUCAUAAAAGUGUAUCCAAUUUUUCAAAAAAAUUGAUGACUGUUCACCAUCGGUAAUUCCCGGAGAAAUCGUCGGUAAAAUACAAAUACCCUCUGGAAAAAUUACUGACAGUUUCGUCGGUAAUUCCCGAGGGUGUACAGUUCCGAAUAUUUUGCCAAUUUUUUCUACCCCACAAGGCCCCUAAGGUGUGUUGAAUGAAAAAACAUACAAAACAUGGAUUCUAUAAUUGUACUAAGGAGAGAAAAUCAAAAAAUUUCAUAAAAGUGUAUCAAAGUUUGCAAAAAAUAUGUAUACUGUUCACACUAGGAAAAUUACCGACGAAACUGUCGGGAAAAUACAAAUGCUCUCUGGAAAAUGUACCGACAGUUUCGUCG